rnacentral:tRNA from 1 species
UGUUCAAAUAGCUCAGUUGGUUAGAGCAAAAGACUGAAAAUCUUUGUGUCGGUGGUUCAACUCCGCCUUUGGAC